AGCAGCCGCGGUAAUUCCAGCUCCAAUAGCGUAUAUUAAAGUUGUUGCAGUUAAAAAGCUCGUAGUUGAAUUUCGGGAUUGACACAUCGGUCGUGCCUUAAGGGGUAUGAACUGGUGUAGUCAAUUUCUCACCUUCUGGAGAACCGCGAUGCCCUUAAUUGGGUGUCACGGGGAACCAGGACCUUUACUUUGAAAAAAUUAGAGUGUUUAAAGCAGGCAUUUUGCUUGAAUACAUUAGCAUGGAAUAAUAAGAUAGGACGGCAUGAUUCUAUUUUGUUGGUUUCUAGGAUCACCGUAAUGAUUAAUAGGGAUAGUUGGGGGCAUUAGUAUUCAAUUGUCAGAGGUGAAAUUCUUGGAUUUAUUGAAGACUAACUACUGCGAAAGCAUUUGCCAAGGAUGUUUUCAUUAAUCAAGAACGAAAGUUAGGGGAUCGAAGACGAUCAGAUACCG
rnacentral:rRNA from 1 species